rnacentral:lncRNA from 1 species
UCAAUUUUGCCUUAGUGCGUGAGACUGAAAUUUACAUGUGAGGUUUUUGGUACAGAUGUGGGGUCAAUUUUGUAAUAUCUCUUAUGCUAUCUUUUGUUUGGUUAUGAGCUAAACCAAGGUAAAAAAAAUUCUUGUUUGGUUUGUGAGGAUUUUCGUCAAAAUCUCAUGUUUGGUUUGUGAGUUUUGACUAUUGCAAAAGCUCUUGUUUGGUUCAAGAGACUGCCCUUUAAAACCUUUAUUGUGCUAAUUAUUCCUUGUUUGUCUUACAAACUUGUUUUAAACUCUGAUUUUAUAAAGACUUUUUAUUUAAACAUUGUUUUUCAAACCCACACAAUUCACUCCCUUAUUUUAUGAGUCACUUGUCCAACAUAAUCAAUUUAGAACUAACUUGCAACUAAUUUGUAAAACUAAUGUUAAUAUCUGUAACACCCCCUAAAGUUAGAAGGUGUGCACAAUAUUUCCAACUUUGGAAGAACAAUACAAAUGUAAUAAAAAUCAACGAAAAAAGAAAUAUAAAAAAAAGUAAACUUCAAAUUGCUAGCAGUUGAAGUGCAUAAUUGUCAGAAGUCUUAGACAAACUCUUGAAUCUCAUCAAUCUUCUCCCAAGAUUUCCACAACAUUUAUUCCAAAUGAAAAACUAGAAAAAAAAAACUCCAUUAUUAGGAGUAUCUUUUCAAAAUGCCAAAUAAGUCAAUAAAAACUUUAUCAUCAAACAUAAACCAUAAUUUAAGAUUUUAACCACUAACAAUCAAACAUUUAAACAUCAAGCAUAGAUCAUAACUCAAGACUUAAAUAUUUAGAAUAUAAAAAAUAAAGCUAAUUAAAGCUAAUCAUUUUAUAUUGAUCCAAAUAAAAUAAAAGUUCAGAGCAUUAAAGUGAUACAUUCAAAAUUAUAUAAAUUAAGAUUAUAACUAACUAUCAUUUUAUGUAACUUAUGUAAUUUAUGUAAUUAAUUUGUAACUAACAUGCAAUUAAUUUAUAACUAAUAUUAAUAUCUCACAAAAUUGUAACAAUUUCAUUUAUCUUGUUACAGAUUGACUUGUUGUUUUUGCAAUCUCCAUUAUCGAGCUCUACAUUGCAUAACAAUGAUGUGUUUUCUAAAAUAAAUUUUUAAAAAAUAAAAUAAAAAUAAUAUAUAUAUAUAGGUUAAGAAAAGUUCCAUCUUGCUCUAAGUCUAUGGAUGAACUAUUUGAGACCAUUUAGAAUUGGUUUUGAGAGUGUAGAAGAAGAUGACCCUAUUGACAUGGAUGACUCCUUAUUCAAGAGAUUCUCCUAAGAAUAAAACCAGAAACACACUAUAUUCUAGGAAGUCUAAAUAACAAAUAUAAAUAUUAUAGUUACAUUACCUAUACGUAUUUAGUAUGCAUUAUGCAUAACUUGUUUUACCUUAUAAACAAUUGAGAAAACUCAAACAAUUAUAAAAUCUUGAAAAUAUUUUCGUUAAAUAAUAAAAGUCACGUGUUAAAAAAAUUUAAAAUUCAACUUACUGCUUGUUUGUGGAGGAGAAACAUAUCCAUGCAUUUACUUGAAGCGAUAAUAUACAUUGGAACUUAAUUAAGGUUUUGAUGGGAUAUAUACUUAAUGGAACUCCAACAUUUUACAAAUUAUGUUUUAUUAAAAUAAAUAAAACAUCACUUUUAC